CCCUUAGAUGUCCUGGGCCGCACGCGCGCUACACUGACAUGUUCAACAAGCCUCCUAGUUCGACAGGAUUUGGGAAAUCUUUGAACGCAUGUCGUGAUAGGGAUAGAUCAUUGCAAUUAUUGAUCUUGGACGAGGAAUUCCUAGUAAACGCGAGUCAUCAGCUCGCAUUGAUUACGUCCCUGCCCUUUGUACACACCGCCCGUCGCACCUACCGAUUGAAUGUUUCGGUGAAGAUUCCGGAUAGGACUUUUUUGAUUUAUUUCAAUUUUGUCUUAAAAGCUAUCUAAACCUCAACAUUUAGAGGAAGGUGAAGUCGUAACA
rnacentral:rRNA from 1 species